rnacentral:rRNA from 1 species
GACGAACGCUGGCGGCGUGCUUAACACAUGCAAGUCGAACGGAAAGGCCCUGCUUUUGUGGGGUGCUCGAGUGGCGAACGGGUGAGUAACACGUGAGUAACCUGCCCUUGACUUUGGGAUAACUUCAGGAAACUGGGGCUAAUACCGGAUAGGAGCUCCUGCUGCAUGGUGGGGGUUGGAAAGUUUCGGCGGUUGGGGAUGGACUCGCGGCUUAUCAGCUUGUUGGUGGGGUAGUGGCUUACCAAGGCUUUGACGGGUAGCCGGCCUGAGAGGGUGACCGGCCACAUUGGGACUGAGAUACGGCCCAGACUCCUACGGGAGGCAGCAGUGGGAAUAUUGCACAAUGGGCGGAAGCCUGAUGCAGCAACGCCGCGUGCGGGAUGACGGCCUUCGGGUUGCAAACCGCCUUCGCCUGUGACGAAGCGUGAGUGACGGUAAUGGGUAAAGAAGCACCGGCUAACUACGUG